AUUGAACGCUGGCGGUAUGCUUUACACAUGCAAGUCGAGCAGCAGCGCGGGGGCAACCCUGGCGGCGAGCGGCGAACGGGUGAGUAACAUAUCGGAACGUACCCCGUCGUGGGGGAUAACACAGCGAAAGCUGUGCUAAUACCGCAUACGACCUGAGGGUGAAAGCGGGGGAUCGCAAGACCUCGCGCGAUGGGAGCGGCCGAUAUCGGAUUAGCUUGUUGGUGAGGUAAAGGCUCACCAAGGCGACGAUCCGUAGUUGGUCUGAGAGGACGACCAGCCACACUGGAACUGAGACACGGUCCAGACUCCUACGGGAGGCAGCAGUGGGGAAUUCUGGACAAUGGGGGGCAACCCUGAUCCAGCCAUUCCGCGUGAGUGAAGAAGGCCUCGGUGUAAGCUCUUUCUAGCAGGACGAAACGG
rnacentral:rRNA from 1 species